AGCGGCGGAUGGGUGAGUAACACGUGGGGAACCUGCCCCUAAGUCUGGGAUACCAUUUGGAAACAGGCGCUAAUACCGGAUAAUAAAGCAGAUCGCAUGAUCAGCUUUUGAAAGGCGGCGUAAGCUGUCGCUAAGGGAUGGCCCCGCGGUGCAUUAGCUAGUUGGUAAGGUAACGGCUUACCAAGGCGACGAUGCAUAGCCGAGUUGAGAGACUGAUCGGCCACAUUGGGACUGAGACACGGCCCAAACUCCUACGGGAGGCAGCAGUAGGGAAUCUUCCACAAUGGACGCAAGUCUGAUGGAGCAACGCCGCGUGAGUGAAGAAGGUUUUCGGAUCGUAAAGCUCUGUUGUUGGUGAAGAAGGAUAGAGGUAGUAACUGGCCUUUAUUUGACGGUAAUCAACCAGAAAGUCACGGCUAACUACGUGCCAGCAGCCGCGGUAAUACGUAGGUGGCAAGCGUUGUCCGGAUUUAUUGGGCGUAAAGCGAGCGCAGGCGGAAAAAUAAGUCUAAUGUGAAAGCCCUCGGCUUAACCGAGGAACUGCAUCGGAAACUGUUUUUCUUGAGUGCAGAAGAGGAGAGUGGAACUCCAUGUGUAGCGGUGGAAUGCGUAGAUAUAUGGAAGAACACCAGUGGCGAAGGCGGCUCUCUGGUCUGCAACUGACGCUGAGGCUCGAAAGCAUGGGUAGCGAACAGGAUUAGAUACCCUGGUAGUCCAUGCCGUAAACGAUGAGUGCUAAGUGU
rnacentral:rRNA from 1 species